AUACGUAGGGGGCGAGCGUUGUCCGGAAUGAUUGGGCGUAAAGGGCGCGUAGGCGGCUUGUUAAGUCUGGAGUGGAAGUCCUCUUUUCAAGGGAGGAAUUGCUUUGGAAACUGGCGGGCUUGAGUGCAGGAGAGGUUAUCGGAAUUCCCGGUGUAGCGGUGAAAUGCGUAGAGAUCGGGAGGAACACCAGUGGCGAAGGCGGGUAACUGGACUGCAACUGACGCUGAGGCGCGAAAGUGUGGGGAGCAAACAGGAUUAGAUGCCCUGGUAGUCCACGCCGUAAACGAUGAAUACUAGGUGUGGGGGGUAUCGACUCCCUCUGUGCCGCAGUUAACACAAUAAGUAUUCCGCCUGGGGAGUACGGCCGCAAGGUUGAAACUCAAAUGAAUUGACGGGG
rnacentral:rRNA from 1 species